ensembl:lncRNA
UUUGUGAAUGCUCAUAACACUUUAAUUAUAUCUCUCUAGUGGCAGCUAUUACAAACCAUCUUAUUUUAUGGUUAUUUGAUUAUACAUCUCAUCUCCCCUGCUAGAUUAUAAACUCCUUGUGCUUACGGGCCAUGCCUUUAUUCAUCUUUUUAUCUCCUGUAGCACCUACCAGUGCAUCUUAUAUAUAGAAGGCAUGGGUAAAUAUUUGUUAUUAUUAUAAAUUAUAAUUGAAAAGGAAUCAUUUUAUGUUGCCCACAAGAUACUUGAAUAUUCAGUAAAACCUAAGGCUGUCUCCCUCCACAUUUAUCUCCGUAUUUCUGCACCUACCCACAAUCACAGCAAUACACUACAUGUAUGCAUUUCCAUGUUAAUUAUUAUUUCAAAUGGAAAUUUGGAUUUUUCUAAGUUUUGCCUUGUACUUGGAAGUUAUUCUGUGACUGCCUUACAGUUAGUAGAGUGUACUUGGAAUACUACGUGUACACAAAGUAAGUGACAGAAGGAGAGGCCAUCAAGAAUAUUGACCAAAUGUUAGGUAUCAGGAGCUUUUCAGGUGCUUUGAUGGAGCUUCUCUCCAGACACUUCACCAUCCGGACUGAGUCUCUAACAACCUGACCUGUGCUGACAUUGAUCUGGCUUUGAUGCAAUCUGUAGCCUUUUUUUUUUUUCAACACUUGCACUACCAGAAGGACCUUGUCACAAUUCAGGCUUGCUAAUGACACAGUCUUAUGGAUCCUGAAUGGUGGUCCAGUAGGACAAUGCAUUAUGCCAUGUGCUUGUACUUUCCGCAUCUGUACUAUCUUAGGCCAGACUUGGGGGAACUGUUUGUGCUGUUCACAACCUUGUCUUGAUAGUUCUUUCCUGGGCUCUCUGGAUUCUCACCCUUUCCAAGCCUUGGUCUACAGGGUGAGUUGUCCUAAGGGGAAGAUGAGAGUUGAAGUAAUCGAGCACUUAUUUCUGAUCUGUAUAUUGCAAUUGAAAGUAGGUUAGGAUUUAAAUGAGGUGGCUCAGAGAGAAGUCUAGUCUCUAAACUACUCCUUCUUCUCUAAAUGUGAAGGGACUCAUUACAUUGAAGGAAACAAUAUCGCCUCUGACCUUACGGCCCUCCUGCCCCUUUAUUCUCUGAGCCCUAUUCACCCUUCCCCCUUGCCUUCUUGGUAUUCUACUAAGCAAUCUGUCCUAUUCCUUCUAGUCAGUGCAAAUUGCUGUUUGUCAUCCUGAAGAAACUCUUGGGGCUGGUACUGUCCUUUCACUUAAGCUGCUCCAGUAAAUAAUAUUCCCUUCUCCUGGCCAGCCUCCUCUAUAAAUCUUAUUAUGUCAUUGAUCAUGAAUUGUUCUCCUUUAGGAGACAUCUUGUGCCAUGUGUGCUAAUUUAAAGCAUACUAUAGAGAACUGAACUCAAAGAAGUUACAGGCAGUGACAAGGCUCUUCUUUAAAAAAGCAAACAAAGUCCAUUCUUCACUGAGACAGAAGGGAGGGUAGAGGAAUUAUUAUUGGCAGAAAGGGGCAAAAUGUGACAACUUGGGUGACACUCUAAUGAAAAUUAAGAUGUAAAUCUAGAGGGAGAAUUUUUCUUCUCAAAAGUCCUAGUUGGUCAAGAUAGUCCUGCUCCUGGGAAUAGGCAUAGUUAACAUUUUGGAGCAAAAUCUAGCUCAUUAUGUUAUGAGACGUACUUUUUUUUUUAGCCAAUGAAAUAAGUAAUCUGAUAAUAGCUGGGGGAAGGUUGGGAAGGCACAUCUUCAUGAAGAAGGACCUUCAUGAAUCUCUGUUGGACUGAUGGAAUGAAGAAAAUUCCAGCAAAUUUAAAAUACAUCCAGAAGGCAGUUUUACCCAUGAGGCGUUCAUGUCAAUUUCUUGCCUGUAAAUAUUUAUAAAAGUUGACAGGAUAGGAGGAAGGAAAAGGACAGGAAGUCUACAAUGGAGCUUCACAUCACAAAGCCAGGAGCCUGCACUCCAGUCUCUUGGAUCCCCCUUGGUUUACUGGUUUUGAUGAUAGCUUCAGAGAAGAACAAGACCCAAAGCUGAUGACCUUCCAGAUGUCUGUUCCUUUAGUCACUCCCAGGGAGUGAAAGCUCACUCAAAUUUGGAGCUUGUUUCCUGGGCAUAAUUGGACUGAAGAUAGAAUUACACUUAUUCUCCAAUUUCACUUGUAACCUGAGAUGUAGCAGGAGGGGAAAUAAGAAAUUUUUUAAAAAUUAAAAAGUACUUUCUGAGUGACACCUUCAUGCCCAUGUGUGGACUGGAGGUUGUUUGAUCCAAUGCCAAAAAUACCAGGAAAGGUAACAGCUGUCCAAGGCAGUGCCAGGAAAGCAAGAACCCCAUCACAGCUGCCUUCAGCUGUCACUGUGCCCACCCCAGGAUGAGUGAGGAACCUGGAUCCUACCACAUCUGUAAGGUCCUGAAUGUCCACAGGGAUUCAGGCCACAUGUCAGCCCUAAGCUAGUGCUCAGGCUGUACCCUUCGGACUACAGCACCCAGAGAGCCCCUGAUCAUUAACUGGGCAGAGAAAGAGUGACUCAUCACACCACCCCUACCCACAGAAUCUAAGCCACCAGGCCGUGACUCUGUGUGUCUCAUUGCAUUAAGAAACUCACAGCCUCUGAGAUCUUACAGGAGUGCAGCUUCAGGGGGAUGUGGCCAUGGGAAUGGGAAUGUGCUGAGCUGCCUGGCUCUCAUAGUUAAGGACAUUACCUGUUUCCAGAGGGGACGUUUUUUAAAAAGCCAAAACAUGCCUAUCUGAAACCUCAGUCAUAUUUAGAACAGUCCAUGUAGUUAACUCCCAAUGUCAUUGUCACCUUUUAAUUGUAAUUGAUAAUUUUCUUUUGAAAUCAAGGGCUAUUUUAAUGUUGCCUUGCUGUGAUAUAAGAACCAUCUGCAAACCAGAGACUAGGCCUUGACGCUGCCUCUGCCUGAGCUGUGCUCUCAGUCACUUACACAUCACUUCCACCUAGUCACCUGGACAGCACAGCUGCACCGAAUUUGGUCUCUUUACCAUGAGCUCCCUUAUGCUUGUGCACCUUCCCAACACCCACACAUGCCACACACACACAUGCACACUUCUUACAAAUAGAUCCCAACUUGCCAAUUUCAAUCACUUUAGUGGAGGAAUAGGGAUACAUUCUUGGUAGAUGAAAGUGUUCACUUAGAACUGGAGGGACAUACUAUAGUUUAUCCAGCUAGCGUUUUCUCUUUUGCUUUAUGUAGCUUGUGGAUCGCUGACACCUCAAGGUUUGACUGAAUAUCUAGGCUUUAUGUGAAGGGAGCAUUUUCUCUAUGAGAGAAUAACCUCGUUGUCCUGCUGCCUGUCCCUUUUUUACCCUGUGGAAUCCGUGUGGUCCUCUGAUGUCCUGCUAAUGGAUCAUUGCUAAGAGGAUAGUGCAGCAGAAGCCAGUCUCUCCAAGGACAGGCAGUCCUGUUGCCUAGAUACAUACAUAUCUGUGUGCCCACAUCUCUUCUCGACAACACCAUGAGCAGGGGUGCAGAGGUCUAUCGUCAGUGGGGACAGGAAUGGCAGUACAUGCCUUGGCAGAUUCAAUAAUUUUUUUCUCUCCCAGAGUCAGGAGCAGGGAAAAUAUGAAGCCUUCAUGUCAGUAGGAAGCAGGGAGGCUAGAGAAGCAUCUGAGUAGACUUUUUUUGAGAAAAACAUAAAAUAGUAAAAAUACCCUUUCUUUGAUACAAAUGCACUUGAAAGACAACCAGGGCGCUUACAGCUGUGUUCUCCCUCAUUGACUUACUGAUCUGUCUCAGUUUAGGGAUCUUGAGGUAUUCUGUGUCCUGAGUCAGCUCCAAGCAGCUCACCCUCAAAACACACACACACACACUGUUAGGGUGAGAAUGUGAGAGCACAGAGCUUGAACAUGUGUGUGGUAUUUAAUGUUUCCAAACCAGAGCCCAAUAAGUCUGGUACAAUCAGCCCCCCUCUAUAUUAAUGACUGAGGAAGAAGCCUGCUGUGCAUAACUGGGUACUCUGGAUCCAAGAAAAGAGAAUAACUUUCUUACUAGAUUGUUCCUAAGACUCCUGGGAACUUUCAAUGAUCAGGACGAUUACCCUGGUUAUUUCUUGGUAACAGGCACAAGAAAUGGAGCACAUAGAACUUUGAGGAGUCAUUCUUUGAGCAAUCUUAGCUUAAUUCCCAUGUAAAAAAGGCCAUGAGCUGUGGCAGUUUCUAGACUGACUCUGCUCCUCCUCCUUGGAGGAUAGAGUUUCUGGGGUCACCAACAGCCAACUUAGGCCUCCACCACGUUUAGCCUGUGAUACAUUCUGAGUAAAUCAAAGUCAUUUGUAUGUGGAUAUGGGAUAAUUUACCAUAACCAUUUCUCCAAAUGGCCUCCUUUGGCAUGGAAAUACGAUCAUCUUUUAAUUUUACAGAUGAAAAACUUGAAGCACAACAAAACUUGAUGACUAGCCAAAACUAAGGUUAUACUGGAUACUCUUGGCAGAACCAAAACUUGUCUGAAUUUCCAGCCCUCAGCCUAGCUCAUUGGGUAAUGCUGCCUGAAUUGUCCUUCCCACCGUGUGUUCAGCACCUGAUGGUAAAGAGAACUCAUGAAAGCUAGGGAGCUGAUUUCUCUAAAUCUUUUCCAUGGAAAUUUGUCUUCGUCACAGACCCAUCUAUACAAACACACUCUCCUCAUGAGUCUACAGAGACAAGUCAAAAGAGAUAGGAACAAAGCAAGAACUUUGAAAAUGAGAAAGGGGUAGAAAAGUUUCUGUAAUGAAGAGUUGAAGGCCAAAUAACAAAAAUGUUUUUGAAUUUUGUGGGAUAAGACAUUGUGAAUAAUUUUUUAUUAUUAAAAAAUUUUUAUGUAGCAUGUAACCCACAGAAAUAAAAAGCUCAAGAAAAACUGAGACAGAGGAUUUCUUCCAGAGUGUUACAUGGGGAAGGGAGCCUCCAGGAAUGUGUAGGAGGAAGUCAUGAUACUCUGAAAGUGUCAGUAUUUUUGGUCAGCCCACAGUGAGGACAACCUCAAGGGAGAGGCUCUUGGAUUCUUCUUCUGGGUACCCCUAUGUAAUUUAGUCAAGUUCAAACACAGUAGGCUUGAUUCCAGUAUUAAGGCAUGGGUUAGUUCUGGAAGCAUGAGUAGAAGUAAAAUGAAGUUCAUAUAUACAAUGAAUUCCAGAAAGAAGAAUCUAUAUCCCACGGAUCCAUAAUAAAUAAUUAUUGCCUUCCUAAAGCCUGAAGGAAGGGAGGCAUGGGUGUUGCAAAGACUAAUAAAGGUCUCCUGAGAAUUUUUAUGAAACCUUGAUUUUGCCCCAAGAUUAUAAUGGUGAAUUCUUUAGGCACUCCAGGGCCAGGGAAUCCUGCAACCACCUUCUCUCACAAUCCACCUGUUCACUGAUGAAUGAUAUUAAGCUCAGGAAGUAAUCAUCAGUCUUUCCAAAGAAGAUAGUGUCUUUAGUUUGUGCCACAGAACAGAUUUUUGUUGAUAUACAGAGCAUUCUGCUUGUACCAACAGCAGUGAAAGAGCUCUAAGUGUCCUAGCAUAAUGUAGAAUUUUUUUUGUUUUUGAUUUCAUCAGUCCAUCCUGUCCCUAGAGGAAAGAUAGGAGUGGAAGUAGGAAGAUGGAAAAGUCCUUACAUGGGUGAGUGGCGAGUCUUCUAUUACGUCAGUUUCACGGUGUAGUCAUUCCCAGAGCCUAGUUCAAGAGCCUGGCUUCAGGAAAGAAUAUGGGCAGAGAGAGAAGGCAAGUUUUAUUCCCAUGCGUGGGGAUGGGAUAGAGGAGGCUACUAGAGCUCUCCUUAAGCUCAAAGUUUAGAAUCAAGCCAGUUACAAAUAUCCCUUCUCUCAUUUUUGCCUCCUAAUAAGCCACAUGAAAUCAUGAUGGUAUCAUAGUAAGCUAAGAGAGAGGGGCAGGGGCUAUUCUAUCUUGACUCCACGGUGACUUCAUCCUUCACAUGAGUGUCAUUAUAGAUACUUGGAUCAUGAUGCUCCUUUAUGACAAGUAACAGAGCCAACAGCUGAUGAGCAUUUGGAACACCUUAGUCCCCUGAGAUGACCAUUCCCUGUUAGGCUACAGAUGUAUUCAUGGGGAGGGGAAAUAAAAGGAUUCAUGGGGAUCCUAAAGGCAUGAAACAACAAAGAAUUAUUUAAUCGAAACUAUGAGCUCUUGUGAUUAGUAUCAAAGAUUAUGGUAGAAAUGAAAAAGAUAAUUCUCAAACUCAAACAUAGCUACCAAAAAGAUAGCUAAGGGAAGCAUUAUGAAGGAAAAAUUUUACAAAGAAAAUCCAUAUCUGCACAAGACCAAAGCUGCUCAGCUGAGAGUAUAUAUAAAAAUGAGGGCACCUUCCCAUUUCGGGUAGAUUUUAGUGGGCCUGGGUGCUAGGUGUCCUGUGGAAAGGCAGGGUAAAGUUCAUUUCAGAGCCCAGGACACUCUGCUGAGCAGAAGCCUCCACAUGAGCAUAAACUUCUCCCUGAGACUGGGGGCAGAAUAUAAUUCCUCUGAUAUUGUGGUUUUGAUUUCUUCCCAAGCCAGGCUUCUCCAUUUGGUCACUGACAUUGGGUCUGCUCACACCUCUUCUUGGCCUCUUGCUUUCUGUAGCUUACAGGGAAGAAUAGUCUUCAUAACUCUGUUUGGGUAAGGCCUGGUAGAUGGGCAGAUAAAUGAGACGGAGAACAAAACUAUGAUCUUCUGGGACAGUGAUCAUUGUUUACUGAUUUCCUUUGUUUCUUUUUUAUUUUUCCACAUCGUGGGGAAGUCUAUCUGGUCAUCACCAACCAAACAUCCUACUGGCAAAGUUUUCUAUAGAAAUUCAAGAAGAAUAAAUAGAAUCAGCAUAUUUCAUUUAAUCCUGACCAUCUUUUAGGUUCUUAUUCUCUCCCCCAGAGCUAUGUCUUUUUUCAGUCCCUUGUUCUCUUCUUUCCUUUCCUGGCAGCUGUGAUUCCACAACAAAUUUCAGUGGUUGGCACCAAACAAAAAGAAUGAUAGCUGUAAUAGGAAAUAGAUCAAAAUACCUAUGUUCUUAGCGAUUACAAAGUGGAUUUUAUCGUUGAACCUUCCAGAUUCCUUACAUGGAAAUUCUUCCUCACCUCUCAGCCUUCUUGGCAGCUCACCUGGUUCCUAUUCAUGGUUUUGGCUCCCCUCCUCACCACGUUCCCUGCAAAGGAGGGAUGUAUUCCUUAAGCUGAAUUAUUAUAGAAACUAUUAGGAUGUUGAAAGAAACCCUUGGUAACUGCUCAUGGUUUUCUCAUUAUUUUUUUAACAUAGGAAGAUAGAGAUGGUAAAAAGGAGAGUGAUAAGCAGAUGAAAAAGGCCUUAUGACCAGAUGCUUCAACUCAAGGUCAGGUCUUGAGAAAGUGUGUGCCCUCCAGUAAGAGCCUGCAGUUCUGCUGGUGGAGAGGGGUGUGCUCUGAAGUAUUAAGCAACUUCUGUGAGAAUGUGCACCACAGCUUUGACUGACGUGCCUGUCAUGUGCGUGGAGGCAUUUUAUGGUUGUUAUUGUCUUCUCUCUCUUAUUUUGUUUCAAAGCACAAGCCCUGUGUGAUAGUGGAUGUUUGGGUUUCAGUUUGAAUGCGCUGGUGAUAUGACACUAUUCUCAGCUCUCCUUGGCUCUAAGGCUGCAUAGUUUCUAGAUAUCUUACCAGUGUUAUUUUUUAACCAUAAAUAUUGUGCAUCUAUUGGAAGGAGAGAGAGAAGGUGAAAUAGGAAGUAGAUUCAGUGACAAGUAGACAAAAAACUUGAUUCUGAAAAAUGGUCUUCACUGAGCAGAGAAAAAUUUAAAAGCAAUGAAGGGAGAAAUCGGGGUAGAAUGGUUUUGGGGUGAGGAGACAAUGACGCCAACAUCCAGGUGCUCUGGUUUAUUCCAUAAGAGAUUUGCUUGCUUCCCCUAUGAGCUCCAGCAGAAGAAGCUGUGCUGCCAUUGAUUGUUCAGAAGACUGGUGACGGACUGACUUUAGAGGUAUAGGCCUCCUUCCAGGAAGACACUGUUAAGCACUGUACCUUAACUCUUCAAAAAUUCAUCUACAAACCUUUAGGACAGCUCCUCGGCAAAGAUUUCCAUUCUCGUCAAGAAUUUUCUGAGUAGAAGAGCCUUAGACCCAUUAUGAUUACAUUUACUGAAAUGGGGAACCCAAAGGGCACUGUGGAGAACAACAUAUAUCAGGGGAAUAGAGUUAGCUGAACCUUUUUUUCAAUUUUAGAAUGAUUUUGGAUCACACAGUUAGGUCACCUCUGAGAGAGAAAAUCUUUUAAAUAAAAUUAUAUCUUCCCAUCCCCAGUGAAAACACCAGGUUUCUAAUCUGAUUACUAUUUACUUCAGGAGGAAAAUUGGUAGAUUAGAUUACAAAUAGGCAUCUUACAGAUUGAUUUAAUCUUGAGUCUUACACAUAUUAACAUCGAAUUUACUGACUUAGACAUGAUCUUUUAAGCUAUAAAAUAUCAUUGAAGGGCAGUAGAUCAUAUGUUCUGAGCAAACCAGAAAGGCUAAGAUGUUAAGUAAUCCUCCCAAAUAUUCAGAGUCUCUAUAAAUUCUACUGUAUCCACAAGGGAUUUAGGAGUCAGGCAACAGGAGGAGAGGGGCAGAGAGUCGUUGAUUGAGACUCAAGGUCAUUUCUUUCAUAAUUAUUAAAAAAUAAUAAUAAAUCCAAGGACAAUUCUCAAAUCAGAAAGAAGCAUGGAAAGUGAACUCUGCUCUUAUCAUUUAGAAAUUUGGUUAAAGUUUAGAAUAAAUAUCCAGGUUUUUUUUUUUUUACUGAAACUCUUUAUUUUGGGAGAUUUGGCUUGCAGUGUAGAAGCAUGAUUUGGAGAGAUGGUUUAUUCAUGCAUUAAUAUUUAUUGAGUGGAAACCCUAUGCCAAAAACAAAGAUACAAAGUGAACAACACAAAGUGCAUGCCCUCAUGAAGCUUACAUAUUGAGAGGAAAUAGAGAAGAAAUAAAUAAAUAUGCUUCAUGUCAGAUACUUCCAAGUGCUGUGGAGAAGAAUGAGGCAGAUUAAUGGGGGUAUGAGGUGAUAGGAUGGAUGUGGACUUGUUACUUUUAUAGGGUGGACAGGAGAAGUUUCUAUGAAAAGGUGACAUUUAAGCAAAGGCUUAAAGUAAAUGAGGGAGUGAGCCUUGGAGCUUUCUAUAUGAAGGGUUUUUCAGGCAAAGAGAAAGAAAUUGCAAAGGUCCUGAGGUCAAACUAUGUGCUUGACAUACUUGAGGAGUAGCCAGGAGGCCAAUGAGUGAGGAGGAGAGUGUGACAGAUGAGGUCAGAGAGGUGGCAUCGUAGGGCCUUGUAGGCCAUUGUAAGAGCUUUUACCAAGAGCGAGAUGAGAAGUUGUAGAAGGUUCUCAGUAGAGAGUGAUAUGGUUCAACUUCUAUUUUAAAAGAAUCAUUGCAGCUGCUGUGUUGAGCAGAACUGUGAGAGGAUGCGUGAUGGAAGAAGCAGUGAGACCAGGUAGGAGGCUACUACAUUAACCCAGGUUAAAGAUGAUAGUGGCUUGGGCCAUGGUGUUAGCAGAGGUAGUGAGAAGUGGUUGGAUUCUGCAGAUAUUUUUUGAAGGGUUUGCUGAAGAAUUAGAUAUUGAGUGUGAGAAAGAAAAGAAUCAAAAAUGACCCUAGAAUUUUUGGCCUCAGCUACUGGAAGUUUGGAGUCAUCAUUAAUAAGAUGGGAAUUAAAAGUAGGUAAAGUAGAUUAGGGAAGAGAGCCUUGUAAUAAGUUUAAGAUGUGCAUCAGACAUCCAAGUGGAAAUACUGAUAAGGCAAUCAGAUAUGUGAACCUGGCAGAGAAGUGGCAGAUCCUGAAGGUAUAAAUUUGGAAUUCAUAGGCAUUUGAAUAGUAUUUGAAGCCAUGAGACUGGAUCUAGGGAGUGAGUGCAAAAAGAACAGAGUUCCCAAGCCUGAGCCCUGAGGAAUGUUCAGAACCCCAGGAGAUGAGGAGGAACCAGCACUGGGAGGAGUGGACAGGGGUAAGUGCUACUAUUGAGUUGAAUCAGAUCAUCUAGAAACAUGGAGGUGAUUCCACUGAUGACCUGGAAAAGAGCUGUUUCCAUGAACUGGUAGGGACAAAAGCAUGAUAGAAGUCUGUUCAAGAAAGAGUGGGAGCGGAGGAAGUGGAGACAGUAUGAAGAGGCAACUCUUUCAGGAGUUUUGCUGUAAAGGGAACACAGAAAUAGCAGUAGAUGGUAAAGGAUAUGGAGUUCAAGGAGGGAUUGCUUUUAAGAUGGGAGAAAUAAGUCUGUUUUAUGCUGACCAGAAUGAUCCAAGAGAGAAGGAAGAUUGAUGAUGCUUAGGGAGAAAGAAUAAUUGCUGGAGUGAUGUCUUUGAUGAAGUGAGAGGGGACGGGAUCCAGUGCAUAAGUGAAGGGACUGGCUUUAGGAGCCUAAUCAGAUUGUAGGAGGGAGAUAGUGUAUUUGGCCACAGAUGCAAGCGGGAUGGAAAAUAUGAUGGUGGGCAUAUGUCUUUUUUGACUGAUAAUUUUUUAGUGACAUACAAAGGGGGUUCAUCAGCUAAAGUGAGUAUUGGGGAAUGUGUUUGGAGAUCUGGGAAGAGAAGAAGGCAUGAAUUACUCAUAUAGCCAUCCAGCAGAAGAAUGAGGAGACAUGCUAGGUGGCAUGAAGGACUUCCUUGAGGUUCUUAUGGUCAUGAGUUGAAAAGAAAUUUUCUUCAGCUACGUUCAGCUGCUUGGGUAGAGAGUUGGAUUUAAGCAGCGUUGGGGUUUAACCGGGUGAAUGCAAUGAAGGCAGCAAGAGACACGGAGUCAAGGGGAACUGCAAAGUAGUGAUUAUAAUGAUGGGCCAUGGAAUCUAAGCUGAGUGAGGAGAAAAGUGUGGAUUUUUAAAGAAUGGGGGAAUAAUGAAGUGUUGGAGGGGCAGGGGAUUGAGAGGCAGGCUGGGAUUACCAAAUUAUUGAAUUAGGUUCAAGAAGGAGUAAUCUUGAAAUUAGGAGCUGAGUCAGAGAGUGGGAUGCUUGAGGCUGAGAUUAGGGAGAGGUGCCAGUUAUUGGUAGUGACAUGAUCUGGGAUCUAGUGUGGAGUUUUGGGCUGAGGUUAGAUAGAGGACAAGGUUGCUGAAGGAGCAGAGGCCAAGGUACUGAGAGGCCAGGAUAUAGAACGUUGAUUUAUGUGGCUAUUGAGGUCAACAAAAAUUAUGACGGGAAUGGUAUUUAAGGCAGUGACAAGAAUAAGAGUGGUCAAGAAUAUUUAAAUUACUGCUUCAAGUAGGGGAAGCAGCUGGUAGUCUGAUGUGUUUCAAAGCUGGUUUGUUACUUUGUGUAGUUUUGAUUUUUAAGAAAGAGGGAGGGAAGAUGGUUUGGAAGUGGCAAUGAGGAGCAAGGAAGGUCCCUACUCCACCUCCAGGCCCAGUGGCAUGGGGAAUGUGGGACAGGAAAUGCCUUCCACUUGAGAGGGCUCCAGACUCCUCAAGGAAGAUCCAAGUUUCAGUGAGAGCAAGGAGGUGAAAGUAAUCAUCAGGGCUGUGGCUGAUGAGAAGCGUGGACUCAUGGAAGGAUUUGGGGAGUUUGUAAAGGAUGGGAAAUGAGCUCAGAUGAGAGAUGUACAUGGUCAUCUGGGGAUGAAAGUUCUGAGUGAUGAGGGAUAUUCCGGGAGUCUUGGGCUCCUCAUGGUGACUGUCCCAAGCAAGACUUACCAGUGCUUUGGGUCAGUUCUGGUGGUCUCUUUGUCAGAUUGAGGGGGUAAGGCUAUGAGUGCCGGAGGUAGGGUCUUGCAAGCAAUACAUGGAACUCUAGUGCCUCUUCUUAAAUCCUGAUGUUUGUUUUUUUUAACUUCCACGAAAAAUUCCAUUGCCGUCUAUGGUAGUCCACAACAUAUUUUUAUAGAUAUUAGCAAAUGUAAUCCUGGAUUGAGGCCACAUUUUGACUAUUUGCCCUGGAAAGAACACAUUUUCACAGUAAAUCUCCUUUUUAUUUUCAAGGCUCCCAACUAAGUUGGUUUCCUUAGGGGAAUCAUAAUUCUUUGUUCAACUUUCUCACUGUUUAUCUUUUAAAAAAAUCAAAGUAAAAGGAUUGAAAAGCAGCUUUGCCUCUGCCCAAUUCUACGAAAUGAAUGUUUUCUCUGACUGAUAGUUUUUAUUUAGUAUUUUCUUUUGUGACAGAGAGGAACAGUGGGACAGUAGCGUAAGGAAAUGAUCUAAAGUCUUUAAAAGCUUUGGGCGGAGGUUUAGAAGAUCAAGAGAGAGUUAGGAAGAAAAGGACUUCGAGUGGGACUCCAUGAAAUGGGGACAAGUGAAGGCUUUUAGGGAGGGCCUGAACAAAUCAGAAACUUGACCAAGAGAGGCAGGGGAAAAAACCCAAGUGUUGUCAUUUAGAGAUUUAGCAAGAGCAACCUAGAGCCUGCCCCCAGGAACAUUCCACAUACUUCUGACACAGAUGGUGUGCUGAUUCUAUUUUAUUUCCUGUGCCCUUAGGGAAAAAAAAAAACCCUCAUAAUUUGAAGAGAGACAGAAGCUGUUCAAUCAUUUCUAGUGGACUAGUUCUCCAAGCCUCCACAGAUCUUGAACAGGGCAUGAAUUUUAUCACAACCACUGCUGCUGCUGGUUCAGCUUCUCUGUCCUCCAGUAAAGGGACCCCUUAACUUGGUCAUGUCCUUCCUGGCAUUUUCCCCAAAAGAUUAAAUUGUGUUCAACUGGGCUUGUCUAAUGCCACAUCUUGAGUUCUUGUAUUGGAAGGAUAUUGCAACCAAGACAAGGGGUUACGCUGUGCUUUAUGCACUGAAGACUAAUAGAACCAUAUUUAGGAAGGAAGAAGGAAGCAAAGAAAGCUAGCCAGGGAGGGUUUUCUCACACCCUCUCUGCUUUCUGACCUCUGGGAAUGCAGUCUUUCAAAGGCCAGCAGAAAACAACAUGGCUUCCUUUGCCUCUGCCUCAGAUUUCCCCUCAUUUAGGUUGCCUCCUGUACCUGGUUAAUUGGGUGCACCUGUCUGUUAAGGAUAUUUGCAGGAAGUAGGGGGCAAAUCUUCAUAGGAGCUUUGCUAGCCAAAGACCAUUCCAGCAUUAAUACUUCAGAGUAGCCAUGACGCUUGUGGAAACAUUUCAAGGAGCUAGAUGGCAUGUUACAGUGGAGAGCAGAGAAUAGACAGUGUAGGGCAAUGAGCUCUUGUCCCUAAGGGCAAAUCUCUUUUCCUCCACUUGACAGGUGCCAAUGCUCCAGUAGUGUCAUAUUAGACUUAGCCACAACGACUGGCGCAUGUGUGUGUGUGCCUGUGAGGGUGCGCACAUGUGUGUGAGUGUGAGGGGGUGAUAAUGGAAGCCACAGAAUACAAAUUCACUAUGGGGUUGGGUUGCAAACCCAGAGCUGCACCCCUGCCAAGGUAACAUGGCAGAGGGGACACCUUCAUAGCUUUCCCAAUGUGGUCUCCUCCCCAGGGAAAACACAGAUGACUCAGGCUUGUCUUGACUCUGUGAGGCCCAGAUCCCACCCCUGGGGCCAGCUCUCCUUCCUCUUGACUCUCAGAUCCCCAGCCCAUCCACCUCCAAGUUCUUUUUUGUUUAUUUGUUUUGUUUUUGUCUUCUGUAAAUAUAUAUUUCUUAUUUUGGACGUGCAGGGGUCAAUUGAGAUUCUGGAGUGGGGGGAGGGUGUGGAUGACUGGGUCUUUUUAUUUUUUCCUUUCUCUCUUGGAUUUUGGUGUUUGAACUUGAAAAAAUAAUUACAAGUAUAUAUAUAAGCAAAUGACUUACCUUUAAAAAAAGAAAUAAGUUGAUUUCAUUCUUUUGAUUUAUCUUGUUUCUCAUUGGGGUUGGGUGGGGGUGGGGGGUCUUUUGGGUGGAGGGCUUUUUUGUGAGCUGUAUAGAUUUCCAGUUUGGACUUGUUCAAAUGAUGCAGGAACAAAAACUAAAAUGAAUUUAAAAAAAAAAAAGACACAACAUAAAAACAAGAAAAACUUUGUGAUGUAUAAAAGCUGUAAAUAGUCAAAGAUUCUUUCUCUUUUCUAAUGGCAAAUUAUUUCUGUCACUUUAUAUUCAAAAAAAUAAAGAAACCUACCACAAAUUAUCAGGGUAAAAAAAAUCCAGAAUCAGAGUUUUUUUGUUUUUUUUUGUUUUUUUGUCUUUGUGCUUUCUUUACUGUGGCUUGGAAAACUUGUUAUAACAAGGUGCUGUUUGGGAGAAUCUUUCCCAGUCAGUUUCUGGUUGUCAGUGGACUGAUGAAUCCAGUUGAGUUAGGAAUCUGUUUCUUCUAGCUGAUGCUGUGGUCUCUUGGUAUGGGGUUGGGGGA